UACGUAGGGUGCGAGCGUUGUCCGGAAUUAUUGGGCGUAAAGAGCUCGUAGGCGGCUUGUCGCGUCGGAUGUGAAAGCCCGGGGCUUAACUCCGGGUCUGCAUUCGAUACGGGCAGGCUAGAGUUCGGUAGGGGAGAUCGGAAUUCCUGGUGUAGCGGUGAAAUGCGCAGAUAUCAGGAGGAACACCGGUGGCGAAGGCGGCUCUCUGGGCCUUACCUGACGCUGAGGAGCGAAAGCGUGGGUAGCGAACAGG
rnacentral:rRNA from 1 species